AUAGGCCCUUUUGUUUUCACUCAUAUUCUGAGUCGUACUCUGUCUCGCAUCUUCCCUUCUCCCUGUAGGUCUAUCUGUCGCACAAAUUUGUACUCUAUCAUUCGUUGUAGCUGGCCAUUCAUUAUCGUUGUUGUUCAUCACGAGUUCGUCGCACAAAUUUGUACUCCCAUAAGGAGGGUUGAAGGCAACCAUGGGCAUCGGGAGCACGACCUUCUCGUUGUCUGUGCCUGCCUUUGGUGCAUCCGCGGAUUCUUCUGCUGUUGCGAGUGCUUUCGCGGCUCCUGUUGCAUCUUCUUCCAGUGGAGGAUCAUCUUUUUACAAGAUUUGGCGUUGGAAGCACGUCGUCCACUACUUCUUUUGGGACUGGGUUUGCCUUCGUAAAUAAGUCAUCAAUGUCAGCAGUUUCUAGUGUUACUACUUCUGCAUUUGUUUGAUGCAUGGAUAAAGUGUGCAAAAAUGUAGAUGGUUUCUUUUCAAUCUAAAAAAAGAUGCUUAGGUAUGCUCCUGAAAUAAGUUUCAAAUGUUUUUCAGUUGUCUUCUCCUUUCUUGAAAGGUUUUUUUUUGUAGGAUUUCUGUUGAUUCUUGCAGUAAUUUCCAUUGGUGUUAUGAUCUCUAGGGAAAAGUCGGGGGGAGUGCUUAUGAUUGUGUACUUAUGGUAGUUUCUAGUAACUUUAUUGGUCGAUCUAAAUUUCAAUAUAAAAAAGUGUGAAACUAGUUGGCAUCA